rnacentral:lncRNA from 1 species
CAACCGCAAAACCCCCUUUCCCCCAUGUCACAGGGCAACCAGGGAAAGAAGAGAGGGAAAGGGGGGUUGUGGGGGUGUGGGGAGGAGGUGGGGGGGCAGGGGCACCGGCAGCCAGCCCCGCACUCGCCUGCCGGGCCACCACCGGGAUCGCAGCCUUCGCCUCCCGGCAGCUUUGGAGGGAAGGCGGCGAGCGGUCCCCCCAGCCGGUGCUCAACCGGUUUAGUGCCAGAAGUUUUUCCAACAGGUUUCUGGAGGUGUCAGACCCGCAAGAGCGAACCUCGGGAAAAGCAACCCCCUCCUUUAAGGGAACGAGGUGCGGGGCGGGGAGGAGGCGGGCAGCCGGCCCGCAGCCCCGGGAGGAAGAGGAGGCCAAUUGAGCGGCAUCACUUUGCCCCGUUGUCCGUAUCACAGACACUCAUAAAUUCAACAAGCUCAUCAACAGGAUAUUAAGUUGCAGGUUUUACCUUUGAUGGUGCCGAUCCGAGGCACUUCUAGGCCGUUCGACCUAUGACCCGUGAAGACCACAUGUGUUGGGCUGGAGCCUCCCUCUGUAAAACACAACUGCGGGACAAAAGUUCUUUGUCAGGCUCUACCGGCAGCCUAAUGUAAAAGAAAAAAAAAAGGGGGAAAUAAUGAAAAUCUCAGCCAAAGCUGUAACUUUUAAAGGCCUUUUUUUAAAAAAAAAAAAAAAAAAAAAAAAAAAAAAAAAAAAAAAAAAAAAAAAAAAGGCNNNNNNNNNNCGCCGUUCCUACACCCCCCCGCCCCGCCCGUCUCUGCCGCCGAGGGAUGCGCAACGCCGGCGUACUUUGCGCGCCCUGCCCCGCUGCGCGCCUCGCUCGGCAGCCGGCGGAAGACGACCCCAAAACGGGAUCUGGUCUAGCACCGCCGAGUUUCGUUCGAUUCACCUUUUCUUUACUUUUUUUUUAAAUUUUUUUUUUAUUUUUUCCGCCUGGAGAUGCCCAUCUGAACGUAAGGGGCAGGGGAGAAGCUUCCCGAUAAAGCGCGGUGGACUUUGUAAUACAAUUUAUGCUGUCAUUCAUAAAUAACAAUGCCAUAUGGUAACCAUAUUGCUUAUACAAGUAAAGCCGUCAAAGUGUCA